rnacentral:rRNA from 1 species
CGGGUUGCUUGAGAGUGCAGCCCAAAGUGGGUGGUAAACUCCACCUAAGGCUAAAUACUUUCCACGAGACCGAUAGCAAACAAGUACCGUGAGGGAAAGUUGCAAAGAACUUUGAAGAGAGAGUUCAAGAGUGCGUGAAACCGUUCGGAGGUAAACGGGUGGGAGCGCGAAGGUCG